AUCAAGGACAUCAACCACCCGAGCCACUGCCUGUUCACCCCACUACCAUCCAGAAGCUCGGGUGGCCAGUGCACCAACCCUUUGGUGGUGCGGACGGCCCAAUACAUCACUCCCUGCCCUCCAGGAUAUCUACACCAGGCGGCAUCUGAGGAAGGCCCGAAAGAUCGUCAAGGACUCCAGUCACCCGAGCCACGGACUGUUCACUCUGUUGCCAUCUGUCAAGCGAGAUAUCGGAGUAUCGGCUCUUGGAUCAACAGGCUCCGAGACAGCUUCUACCACCAGGCCAUCAGACUGCUGAAAAGCUAAACCUAGCAGUCUCCCUGCACAGAUCUGCACCUUACAGACUAUUUGCACUGGAGAGAAUAUUAUGCAGAUUAUAAAUUAUUUGCAUUGACUUCACACACACAAGCAUAAAAGACAUGUUUUCCCAUCUCAAAAGGUUUUUAAAAAACAUAUUAGGUUCCAAAUAAAGUAACUGGGUUGAA